GACGAACGCUGGCGGCGUGCUUAACACAUGCAAGUCGAACGGAAAGGCCCUGCUUUUGUGGGGUGCUCGAGUGGCGAACGGGUGAGUAACACGUGAGUAACCUGCCCUUGACUUUGGGAUAACUUCAGGAAACUGGGGCUAAUACCGGAUAGGAGCUCCUGCUGCAUGGUGGGGGUUGGAAAGUUUCGGCGGUUGGGGAUGGACUCGCGGCUUAUCAGCUUGUCGGUGGGGUAGUGGCUUACCAAGGCUUUGACGGGUAGCCGGCCUGAGAGGGUGACCGGCCACAUUGGGACUGAGAUACGGCCCAGACUCCUACGGGAGGCAGCAGUGGGGAAUAUUGCACAAUGGGCGGAAGCCUGAUGCAGCAACGCCGCGUGCGGGAUGACGGCCUUCGGGUGGUAAACCGCUUUCGCCUGUGACGAAGCGUGAGUGACGGCAAUGGGUAAAGAAGCACCGGCUAACUACGU
rnacentral:rRNA from 1 species